GAACUGUUGAGAGCUUCUAUUAAACGAACGUGGCCAUUCGCUUCUUCGAAGUCGACCAAUACUACUCCAAUUAUGAAUUUUUCGUUCUUUCAGUCUAGAUAACAAUACUGAGUAGCACAUUUCAAAAUCAUGCCCAAAAUAAACAUCAGGAUCGUAUGUACGAACUUUAUUUAAGAAAUUAUUAAGCAACGAAACUUCAGACCUCUCACAAAAGAUGGAAGAUUUGUGCUGGCGAGCUAGCUUUUCAAAACCAUUUGGAAAGAUUUGCUUCAAAGGACGAAUCAACGAAAAG